AUCACGAAACUUCUUGGCGCUGCACCGUGUUAGGGUUUACAGGUGGGCGCUGCCUCCUCCUGUCGUAAGCGCAGCCGCCACAACCAUGCACCCAUCUCUAUCCCUCUCUCCGCGUGAGCCGACGCCGCUCCCUCCUCUGACCCAGCAACCCUUCGCCGGCAAGAAGCCUCUCGCAUAAGCUCGCCGCCAUCCUCCACUCCCCCUGCUUCUUCUGUGACUUCUCCACCACAUCAGGGAACGCAUCGAUUCACCGCCAGUGGUCAAGCGCGUGACCGAAUCGUGGUGCUACCAGCCAGAUCCACGCGACACCCCAUAGGUACAUGAAUUUGGUUGAGUGCGCCGCCGCGUAGCAGUGCCUCUGCGCCAUCUACUACUACUCGUUUGCGCUUUGUCUAUCAUGAAGGCGAAGACGGCCAUGAGGAGGACUGGACCAACAUCGUCCUCGUCCUUGCCAGGACGUUUCCUAGUAGCGGAUACCUGACAUCCUCGAGCGGCGCCGCUUCCCUGCCUCCUCGACCUCGGAGUAUAGCUUCUCGGCAUCAAUAGAUUCUUUAAGGGUCGGCCCAAGCCUGAUUUUGCAGCUCACAUCCACUGGUGCACAAAAGGAGACCUCCUUGACCAGUUUGAAGCCAUGAAAUAGGCUUUCCCUUAUCCUUUCCCAGCUUCUGGACAUGACCGCCACUGUCGUAAGGUGUCGCGGCCGGUGCUUGGACCUGACCGUUGUCGUCCCACAAGUGCAGCAGCAUCUCCUCCCAAUGGCAAGCAAGCUGGAGCAGGGAAAUCGUAGGUGUUGAGGACUCUUUGAUGAAUUUUUUUCCAUCACAAAGGAAGGUCGGUGGAUUUCCGUGGUUGUUGAGGACUCUUGCAUGAUGAUCUGAAGCACGCACAAGAAGUAGAGGACAGGACAUGAGGAGGGAACAAGAAGCUUCAUCUAUCAUUGAUGUUAUGUCUGAUCAACAAAAACUUGUGCUUCUCAUUCAAUAUUUGUUGAACUAUGUUGAUGUGUGAUUAUGCACUUGUUGGGCCCUUCUGUUGUACAUCUGCACUUAUAGAACUAUUUUAUUAUGCACUUGUUGGGCCUUGAACCUUUAUGUGUAGAGCAGUCGGUGGAUGAUGUAUUGUAAUUCAUAUGAUGUGCUACUGAAAUGAAAUAUAUACAGCUAAUUUGAAA